UAAACUAUGCCGUCGUGCUGCACUACACACAACAACUGAUGCUGCUCCGAGCUACUAAACCGAAGCCUCGAAGUAUUAUUCUUCCCCGAGCUACGCUACCAAAGCGCACAGGUGCUACACCAACGAGUCUCCCAAGUACUACUCUGCUCCCAGCUACUACACCGAGCCAAAAGUAACGGUCUGAAGGUGCUCAAAGUUUUUGCUGAGGACGGUAUUAGGUCGAGUCCUCCCUAAAUGAGCGAAUGGACAACCGAGAAGUUGAAUGCGGAAAGUGUUAAUGCGUUGCCCAAAGCUAAUGUUGAGGGUGCAAGCUUGGAAGACAAUAAGGUUCCAUUGAUCUUUAACAAUGGUCGAAAGGUUUAAACUGGCCAUGUUGUCGUUGCUGUUGGUUUGAACGCAAACACGGAUUUGGCUGUCGCUUCUGAUUUGGAAAUCGAUUCCAAUUUUGGCAGUUAUCGAGUCAAUGCUGAGCUUGAAGCAGAUCAAACGUCUGGUUGCUAGAGAUGCUGCCUGCUUUUAUGAUAUGAAAUUGCAUCGUCGUCGUGUGGAACAUCAUGACCACGCUGUUGUAUCAGGGCGAUUGGCUAGAGAGCAUAUGAUUGGCAAUGCAUGCAUGCAACAUGGGUGAAGGACUGCAGCGCAAUAUUUGUCACUAUCUGCAUUCUUAGUCGUAUUUUCAGUACGCAAUCAUGGUUAACUAUGGCGUCUUGCUGCUGUAUGUUGUAUCGUUGAUGGCUGGGUCAACCAUUGGUGUACCG